CCAAACUUUCUUUCUUCUUAGGGAUCUCGGGAGCAGCUUGCUAUUGCAGAGUUUGCAAGAUCGCUUCUUGUCAUUCCUAACACACUGGCAGUGAACGCUGCCCAAGACUCCACAGAUCUGGUUGCAAAGUUAAGGGCUUUUCAUAAUGAGGCUCAAGUUAACCCAGAGCGUAAAAAUCUAAAAUGGAUUGGUCUUGAUUUGAUCAAUGGUAAACCAAGAGACAACAAGCAAGCAGGAGUGUUUGAACCAACCAUAGUUAAAGUAAAGAGCUUGAAAUUUGCAACAGAAGCUGCAAUUACCAUUCUUCGAAUUGAUGAUCUGAUUAAAUUACACCCAGAAAGUAAAGAUGAUAAACGUGGAGGUUAUGAAGAUGCUGUUCAUUCUGGAGCCCUUGAUGACUGAUGUGAUUUCCCUUUUAUUUAAUUUAUAACAAAUCUAGAUGCAGUGCCUUGUGCCUAGUAUUACACAUUAAAGUACAACAGGCUGACAGCUUU